rnacentral:rRNA from 1 species
UACAGAGGGGGGCAAGCGUUGUUCGGAAUUACUGGGCGUAAAGGGCGCGUAGGCGGCCUUCUAAGUCGAACGUGAAAUCCCUGGGCUCAACCCAGGAACUGCGUCCGAUACUGGAAGGCUUGAAUCCGGGAGAGGGAUGCGGAAUUCCAGGUGUAGCGGUGAAAUGCGUAGAUAUCUGGAGGAACACCGGUGGCGAAGGCGGCAUCCUGGACCGGCAUUGACGCUGAGGCGCGAAAGCCAGGGGAGCAAACGGG